rnacentral:rRNA from 1 species
UACAGAGGUCUCAAGCGUUGUUCGGAUUCAUUGGGCGUAAAGGGUGCGUAGGCGGCGCGGUAAGUCGGGUGUGAAAUCUCGGAGCUUAACUCCGAAACUGCAUUCGAUACUGCCGUGCUUGAGGACUGGAGAGGAGACUGGAAUUUACGGUGUAGCGGUGAAAUGCGUAGAUGUCGUAAGGAAGACCAGUGGCGAAGGCGGGUCUCUGGACAGUUCCUGACACUGAGACACGAAGGCCAGGGGAGCAAACGGG